UACGUAGGGAGCAAGCGUUGUCCGGAUUUACUGGGCGUAAAGGGCGCGUAGGCGGCUUGUUAAGUGAAUGGUGAAAUACUCAGUGCUCAACGCGAGAACUGCCAUUCAUACUGGCAAGCUUGAGGGAGGUAGAGGUGAAUAGAAUUCCCGGUGUAGCGGUGACAUGCGAACAUAUCGGGAGGAAUACCGAUGGCGAAGGCAGUUCACUGGACCUCUCCUGACGCUGAGGCGCGAAAGCGUGGGUAGCAAACAGG
rnacentral:rRNA from 1 species